GUCUGCUCUGGGACUUGGAACAAAAGGGGAAACUCUGAUGAACUCCUUCUCCAGCUCCCUGGACGCCCGAGUAUCUCUUUCUCGCAACUUUGUCAACGCGACUUUCUCCGCUGUCAGGCUGCGCAAAAGUAUCCUAGCGCCUCGCAGGCUGCAACAAUGGAAACAAUGUCCCUUCAAAGUGCGACGAAGUGGAGGGAGAAGGUGUCAUACCAGCGACUCCAAGAGUCAUGUCACCCACUUAGCAGGAGUACUUCUACUGAAAUGCCUUCGAAUUUCUCUUACUGGAUAUAUACCUACCAGCCGCUAGCAUGAAGAUGCCAGGACCGCUGCAAGUUAGCACUGGACAAAGUAGCAUCAACUUCUUCAUUUAGAGUUUCUUCAGUUAAAUUGCUGGGAUUUUCGACAAGGCUUUCCUUAUGUGGAUUAUUGGAGUGUGAUGCCCGAGAAUUCUCUACUUGUAGAAGCACGCCCACGGGACUGCAGAAGCCUUCACACCCACCCAGCACGCUCAGAUCAUCCAGUAACCAACCCAGGAAGUUCUUGUAAGCAUGCAUUUCUUAGUCAACACUGAAUGCCUUUAGACCGAGGUCAACCUUUUCAGCUGGUACCGUGGUUUACACUGCUGGGUUGAUGGCCUAACACUGGCUUAACACUCAUGUCGGCUGCACUAAUUGAAGUCACAUCCAAGUGGGUCAAUGCACUGAACAUAUCUGAUAUAGAAGGUCCCAGAUCCUGAAUUUUUAUCAAUGGUUUGCUGUAUAAGGCUUGCCUCCCAAAUAGCUGAGGACCCUUAUUUGGGAAGAUACGUUCUGAUGGUUAAGCAACAGCACAGAUGUCGAUGGGAAUGAGUGAUGGCCAUCCAGUGACCAGCUGGAUCUGACUGCCUUACAAGACGCAUGUGUAUGAUUAAGAGAGAGACAUUCGUGACUCCCAGAUGUACCUCCUUCCUGUCCCACAGUGUUCCUGAAGGGAGUGAGUUAUGGGGUAACUUAUAACACAGCAGGCUCUUCCUCAAGAUAGCUCUUGUCAAAACAGGAAGACGAAACUCGGGUUUCCAUGAGGAGACCACAGCUUGGGAUCCUGUCUGGAUGUACAAGCAGAAGCAUCUUCAUACUUUUCCAUUUCUAACCAUCAUGCCUCACCCCACCCUCCCAAGGCGACAUCUGCAGAGAGGUGGAACCAUCUAGGGAGGCCUGCCACUGUUUGCUGAGCUCCGGGUGAGGAUGAAGACACUUUGACAUGGCCAGCUUCAGACUCGGGAUCUGUCGGUGUUAGCAGCCGAAGGAGAAUGAGGAGGAAGAGGAGGAGAAAGAGGAGGAGGAAGUAAGACAGAGGGGGACAAGAGGACCAAGAGGGCACAUGGCUGAGGAGGAGGAGAACAACAACAACAACAACAACAACAACAACAACAAGAAGCUUGGUGGACUCUGGAAUUGGCUAAAGAGAUGAUGACAAACCUUCUCCAGCCAGUGGCCAUGGAUUAGACUGUGAAACUUGGAAGCCCUCUCCAGGAUGCAGCAGGUAGCUGAGGAGAAAACGAAGACUGACCAGCCCAGAGCUCAGAGCUUCCUCCCAUGCUCAGGAUUUACCACCAAUGCCAUUACAUCGGCCUCUUCUUGUAUGCCUCUGGAAACCACAUGUGUCCUCUGUUUGUAAUGGUUUGGCUAUGGUUGCUGGCCCCUCUUGGACAUUGUUUUCAGAACUUAAAGAAACAUUGCUUUAAAGAUUUAUUAGAACAUAUUUAAAAUAAAACCAUCUUCUCAUUUAGUAUGCAA
rnacentral:lncRNA from 1 species